AGCUUUGUGCAGUGACAGUAUCGUAGCCAAUGAGGUUUAUUUGAGGCACAAUUAUUGCUAAUUGAAAAAGUACAUCUGAAAUAUAUACAAGGGCUAGAUAUCUACCAGUAUUCUAGUCCUGAAAAUACAUACCUACUAUUCAUAUGG
ensembl:snRNA U4 U4 spliceosomal RNA